UGGGGAAUUUUGGACAAUGGGGGAAACCCUGAUCCAGCCAUCCCGCGUGUGCGAUGAAGGCCUUCGGGUUGUAAAGCACUUUUGGCAGGAAAGAAACGUCAUGGGUUAAUACCCCGUGAAACUGACGGUACCUGCAGAAUAAGCACCGGCUAACUACGUGCCAGCAGCCGCGGUAAUACGUAGGGUGCAAGCGUUAAUCGGAAUUACUGGGCGUAAAGCGUGCGCAGGCGGUUCGGAAAGAAAGAUGUGAAAUCCCAGAGCUCAACUUUGGAACUGCAUUUUUAACUACCGGACUAGAGUGUGUCAGAGGGAGGUGGAAUUCCGCGUGUAGCAGUGAAAUGCGUAGAUAUGCGGAGGAACACCGAUGGCGAAGGCAGCCUCCUGGGAUAACACUGACGCUCAUGCACGAAAGCGUGGGGAGCAAACAGG
rnacentral:rRNA from 1 species